GUGUUUCCCUCUUCAGCAUCUGAAGAACUGCAGCGUUUCAUUUUUCCCACUGAAUAACCAGUGACCACAAAAGCAAGUUGUUGACUGACAUACUGGGGAAGAAGCUGAGCUCCACAGGCUGAGUGAGUGCAGAGUCAGAAUGGCCUCCUCUUCAGCAUGGGUCUCAGGAGCAGCCAGUAUCAAAGAGCAGCAGCCCACUCUUGAGCUGAACAUAACUAUUAUGAAAUAAGUUUUGAAGAUGACGCUUGAUGUGGUUGCAGAACGUGCCUUCUCAUCCCAAGGAGAAACUAGGAAUGACAAGAAUGGAGUUAGAUAGGCAAGUAGCAGACAAACAGCUGCACAAGGGUUCAGGACAGGACAAGAUGUGCUGCCACACACGGAGUCUUGACCUGGCACACGCCGUGCAGAGUGAGGAGAGCCACACACUCAGAGAAGUGCUUAAAGGAAGUGAAACUCAGUACAGUCAAGUCAGACCUGGCUGUUACUUCUGCCUCUGCUCCUGUCCAGACUCGACCAUCACCACUGAUCGGUUUCAGUUUUACAAGCCAAGAAGUACUUUAUGUACUUUAACUUGGUUGUUUUCUGGCAGGGGAGGAGGGGACGUGAGGAACGGAGAGCUGAAACUGAAUACCAAGGAAUUUAAAAUGUGACCAAGAAGAAAUUGGGAGAAAUCGUGUCUAAAUAUCACAAUUAGUUUUCUGUACCAGCAGCAGACUUUCAUUUUGGAACAGAUUGUUUAUUUUUUAAUCUCCAGAAUGAUCCUUCUGUUACAUAAAUGUAAAGAAAUAUUCGUCUAUUAUAUCUGUGCUGCCAUCUACAUGCUGCUAUCUACAUUAAGCUAAAUGUAGAUAAUAAAUUUUAUGGAAUAUGUGUGUGUUAGUCAUUUAGUUGUGUCCAGCUCUUUGCAACCCCAUGGA
rnacentral:lncRNA from 1 species